ensembl:snRNA U6 U6 spliceosomal RNA
GUGCUUGCUUCAGCAGCCCAUAUACUGAAAUUGAAAUGAUGCAGAGAAGACUAGCAUGGCCCCUGCACAAGGAUGACGCACAAAUUCAUGAAGCAUUCCAUAUCAAA